rnacentral:rRNA from 1 species
GGCUGCUCGAUUUUAAGACCAGUCUGGCCUGCCCACUGAUUUUUUUAAAGGGCCGCGGUAUUCUGACCGUGCGAAGGUAGCAAAAUAAUUAGUCUUUUAAUUGAAGACCAGAAUGAAAGGUCGGACAAAAAGCAACCUCUCUCAACUUAACUUAUUUAAAUUAACUUUUAAGUGAAAAGGCUUAAAUACUCUUAUAGGACGAUAAGACCCUAUAAAACUUUAUUUUCUGUAAAUAUCUUUCGAUAUAUAUGUGAAAAGCCGGAUAUUAGAAAGUCUAUUUCGUUGGGGCAACGUAAGUAUAACAUUUAACUGCUUAAAUUUUAACCACUAAUAUGUGUUUAUAUUGAUCCUUAAUAAAGAUUCAAAGAAAAAGUUACUUUAGGGAUAACAGCGUUAUUUUUUUUAUGAGUCCAUAUCGACAAAAAAGUUUGCGACCUCGAUGUUGAAUUAAAAUUCUCCUUGUAGUGCAGCAGCUAUAAAGGUAGGUCUGUUCGACCUUUAAAAUUUUACAUGAUUUGAGUUCAAACCGGUGUAAG